AAAAACUUAGUUAAAAAAUAAUAUUAGCUUGUCAAGCUAAAGUUACCAAGAGUAGUUUUUA
rnacentral:tRNA from 1 species